rnacentral:rRNA from 1 species
GCUAUUUAGGUUAGAGUUUGAUCAUGGCUCAGGACGAACGCUGGCGGCGUGCUUAACACAUGCAAGUCGAGGGCACUUAGCAAUAAGUGACCGGCGAACGGGUGCGUAACACGUGAGCGACCUUGCCUAGUGGCGGGGGAUAGCCGGCCCAACGGCCGGGUAAUACCGCAUAGGGUGUCUUGUUCGCAUGGACGGGACAGCAAAGCUUCGGGGCAACUCGAGGCACCACAGGGGGGGCUCGCGGCCUAUCAGCUAGUUGGGGGGGUAAUGGCCCACCAAGGCGACGACGGGUAGCUGGUCUGAGAGGAUGGCCAGCCACAUUGGGACUGAGAGACGGCCCAGACUCCUACGGGAGGCAGCAGUGGGGAAUCUUGCGCAAUGCACGAAAGUGUGACGCAGCAACGCCGCGUGGGGGAAGAAGGCCUUCGGGGUGUAAACCCCUUUCAGGAGGGACGAAGGGCCGGCCGUUAAUAGCGGUUCGGCUUGACGGUACCUCCACAAGAAGCCCCGGCUAACUACGUGCCAGCAGCCGCGGUAAU